GACGAACGCUGGCGGCGUGCUUAACACAUGCAAGUCGAACGGUAAGGCCCUUCGGGGUACACGAGUGGCGAACGGGUGAGUAACACGUGGGUGAUCUGCCCUGCACUUCGGGAUAAGCCUGGGAAACUGGGUCUAAUACCGGAUAGGACCACUGCCUGCAUGGGUGGUGGUGGAAAGCUUUUGCGGUGUGGGAUGGGCCCGCGGUCUAUCAGCUUGUUGGUGGGGUGAUGGCCUACCAAGGCGACGACGGGUAGCCGGCCUGAGAGGGUGACCGGCCACAGUGGGACUGAGAUACGGCCCAGACUCCUACGGGAGGCAGCAGUGGGGAAUAUUGCACAAUGGGCGCAAGCCUGAUGCAGCGACGCCGCGUGAGGGAUGACGGCCUUCGGGUUGUAAACCUCUUUCAGCACCGACGAAGCGCAAGUGACGGUAGGUGCAGAAGAAGGGCCGGCCAACUACGUGCCAGCCGCCGCGGUAA
rnacentral:rRNA from 1 species